rnacentral:sRNA from 1 species
UUUUAGCCGCGAUUGAAACGGCAUCCUUUUUUUUUUUUUUCAAAAAAAAAGAAAAAGAUAUAGUGGAAAGCGGGACAAACC